GGUUUGUACUCAUUAAUUGCAAAAGUAUCUCCACCACUUUCAUACACAACACCACCACCACCACCUCGGAUAAAUUUGAAGCCUCUUCAUCUUUCGUUCUCUCUCUGUCUCUACCAAAUCUCCACCAACCGUCCUCUGUCCAGUUGUGUGCCAUUCUUUCCGGAAAAAGCUUUCCAAUAGUGACAUGCAAUGUCCAGUCUUUGUACUAACCACCACCGGAACUCGUCUUUAACAUAUCGGCCACCGAUCUUCUGCCUGACUCACAACCGCCGGAGAUUAUCACAGCAUUAACACAGGUCAUCGAUUUCCGGUUGUCGUGAAGUAGGGUCAGAAAAUGCAUCGUCUGCUUCAUCGCAUUACUUUUUGAAAAGAAAAGUAAUACAUAAGAAAGAGCGGGAUGUGAGAGAGAGAGAGGCCGAUAGGGUUUUUUCCGGCUUGACCCUCGCGGCCAGAGGCGGCAAGGGACAGUGGUCGAAGUGCCAUUCAUCGUGAUGAGAUGUCCACCAAACCCGUCGCCGUUUGUUUACUCCGCACAGAAAAAUCCAUCAGAUCUACGGUUGGCCGAUUCUAGGAUGUAAGGAAAGGGACGGUGUUCUGUCGCCUGGAAAUGGUACUCUUCUUCCGAAGUUCAUUACGAAGACGGUUUGGUUUCUUCUGCCCGGCAAGUUAUGUGUAUCCCAAUUUGUUCGUCUGCAAAUUUGUAUGUAAGUUGAUUUAUAUAUAACUAUGACGGGAAGUCGGAGAGGAUGCGACGACGGUUUUAUGUGACGGUUAAUGAAUAAGUGUGAUAAUCUGGGUGAUAUUACUUUUGAAUGUAAAACGGGAUGACUGUUUUUUGUGGGCGUGUCGGUUUGAAUGGAAGACCGAAGAGCAAACUACUUUUGACGGUUAAUGACACGUAAUGGAUGUUUAAUUGACACGUAAUGCGUUGUUCAAUAAUAAUAAUUCAUCUUUUUCUUUGUUCAGUUAUUUAUAUAUGGUAAUAAAUCUGUAAACCGUCGACGCAACGGUUGAGUAAGAUGCUUAAUUUGUAAACCGUAGAUUGUUAGUAAAGACGCAACGGUUGAGUAAGGAUGUAACGGUUGAGUAUUGCAAGAAUUUUGGUUGAUAAAUGUAUAAGGGUAUAAUAUGCUUAGUAAACACAAUGCUAAAAGUGCAUAUACAAAAAGUGGUGUGCACUUUAACCCAUACACUAUAGUAAGAAUAGU
rnacentral:lncRNA from 1 species